rnacentral:rRNA from 1 species
CUUGCUUCUCUUGAGAGCGGCGGACGGGUGAGUAAUGCCUAGGAAUCUGCCUGGUAGUGGGGGAUAACGUUCGGAAACGGACGCUAAUACCGCAUACGUCCUACGGGAGAAAGCAGGGGACCUUCGGGCCUUGCGCUAUCAGAUGAGCCUAGGUCGGAUUAGCUAGUUGGUGGGGUAAUGGCUCACCAAGGCGACGAUCCGUAACUGGUCUGAGAGGAUGAUCAGUCACACUGGAACUGAGACACGGUCCAGACUCCUACGGGAGGCAGCAGUGGGGAAUAUUGGACAAUGGGCGAGAGCCUGAUCCAGCCAUGCCGCGUGUGUGAAGAAGGUCUUCGGAUUGUAAAGCACUUUAAGUUGGGAGGAAGGGUUGUAGAUUAAUACUCUGCAAUUUUGACGUUACCGACAGAAUAAGCACCGGCUAACUCUGUGCCAGCAGCCGCGGUAAUACAGAGGGUGCAAGCGUUAAUCGGAAUUACUGGGCGUAAAGCGCGCGUAGGUGGUUUGUUAAGUUGGAUGUGAAAUCCCCGGGCUCAACCUGGGAACUGCAUUCAAAACUGACUGACUAGAGUAUGGUAGAGGGUGGUGGAAUUUCCUGUGUAGCGGUGAAAUGCGUAGAUAUAGGAAGGAACACCAGUGGCGAAGGCGACCACCUGGACUAAUACUGACACUGAGGUGCGAAAGCGUGGGGGAGCAAACAGGAUUAGAUACCCUGGUAGUCCACGCCGUAACGAUGUCAACUAGCCGUUGGAAGCCUUGAGCUUUU